CAGACAUUCAGCAGGGAGUUCCCUCAUCAGCAGCUGGCUAACUGGGGAACUGAAAGUCACAAGGCGCUCGUUUCUGAUAACUCCAUGAAAAUUCACUCUGGGUCAGAAAUCAAUCUUUGGAGUUCUGAACAUGCAGCUUUUCUCAUGGGCCUUUUGGAGAACAAUCAGCUACUCAGCCAUCAGAGCCUUUUUUGCUGGAUGGCAGGCAGGAACUGACAGCAAACCAUCGUCUCUACAACACGCAGAAGAUCAGCACCAAGUCUCCAUUCUCCGAAAACAUGUGUCCAUGCAGCUCUCCCAGGGGAGGUCUGCGCUGCAGUGGAAGGCCCCAGGAGCGUGGGAGCCAGCUCAUCGCAUGAAGGAAACACAGAGUUGUACCUCCAGAUGCCAGGCGGAGCGGCGACGUGACGCACGGUGGACGAGGAGCCAGGAUGCCCAGCUCUGCUACCAACACAGAGUGGGAAUUUGCACACCUCACAUGGUGUCAGUUUCCAAAUGCUGCUGUAAUCAAUUUCCACAAAGUGGUGGCUUAGAAAAACAGACAUGUAUUCGCUGACAGUUCUGGAGCCCAGAAGCCUGAAACCAACGUGAGGGUUCUAGGGGAAGAUCCUCAUUUGCCCCCUCCCAAUUUGGUAGUUCUGGGUGUUCCUUGGCUUGUGGACUCAUCACUCCAAUCUCUGCAUCUGUCUUCACAUUGCUUUCCCUGCUUCUCUGUGUGUCCAUUCUCUGCAUGUCUAAUUUGUAAGGAUAUGAGUGAUUGCAUUUAGGGCCUACUUGGGUUAUCCAGGGAGAUCC
rnacentral:lncRNA from 10 species